GGGGGUAUAGUUCAGUGCUAGAAUUCAUGCUUAGCAUGCAUGAGGUCCUGGGUUCAAUCCCCAGUACCUCCA
rnacentral:tRNA from 1 species